GCCAAUUACAUUAGACGAGACGGCCC
rnacentral:rasiRNA from 1 species